GCACAAGCGGAGGAACAUGUGGUUUAAUUCGAUGCAACGCGAAAACCUUACCCACCUUUGACAUGGCAGGAAUCCCGAAGAGAUUUGGGAGUGCUCGAAAGAGAACCUGCACACAGGUGCUGCAUGGCUGUCGUCAGCUCGUGUUGUGAAAUGUUGAGUUAAGUCCCGCAACGAGCGCAACCCUUAUCCUUUGUUGCCAGCGGUCCGGCCGGGAACUCAAAGGAGACUGCCAGUGAUAAACUGGAGGAAGGUGGGAUGACGUCAAGUCAUCAUGGCCCUUACGACCAGGGCUACACACGUGCUACAAUGGCGCAUACAAAGAGAAGCGACCUCGCGAGAGCAAGCGGACCUCAUAAAGUGCGUCGUAGUCCGGAUUGGAGUCUGCAACUCGACUCCAUGAAGUCGGAAUCGCUAGUAAUCGUGGAUCAGAAUGCCACGGUGAAUACGUUCCCGGGCCUU
rnacentral:rRNA from 1 species